rnacentral:rRNA from 1 species
GCUGCUUGCAGUGGACGUUGAUUGACGUGAGUGGCGGACGGGUGAGUAACACGUGGGUAACCUACCCUUAAGUGGGGGAUAACAUUUGGAAACAGAUGCUAAUACCGCAUAACCAUUCAGACCACAUGGUCUGAAUGUAAAAGACGGCCUUUGGCUGUCACUUUUGGACGGACCCGCGGCGUAUUAGUUAGUUGGUAAGGUAACGGCUUACCAAGACAAUGAUACGUAGCCGACCUGAGAGGGUAAUCGGCCACAUUGGGACUGAGACACGGCCCAAACUCCUACGGGAGGCAGCAGUAGGGAAUCUUCCACAAUGGACGAAAGUCUGAUGGAGCAACGCCGCGUGAGUGAAGAAGGUUUUAGGAUCGUAAAACUCUGUUGUUGGAGAAGAACAGGGACUAGAGUAACUGUUAGUCCUUUGACGGUAUCCAACCAGAAAGCCACGGCUAACUACGUGCCAGCAGCCGCGGUAAUACGUAG